GAGGCAGCGCCGCCUGGGCCGCGUCCACACUGGAUGGGGGGAGACUGGGGGUCCCGAGCAAACGCGCGGGAAGGGCCGCGUUUGUGGGAGAGGCCGCGCUGGCUGCGGGGUCUCCAUCCUCGUAACCGCCGAGGCGGCCCGAAUGCGGCCCAGAGGACUGAGCGACAGACCCCAUCGGGCCCCGCAGCCCGGGGAGGCUCUACUGGAACAGAGCAUCUCUACUGAGCCGGAAGGAGGGGGACUCCAGGAACGGGAAUCUCACAGGGAAGAACCCCCGCUCCCUCCAGCCUCUGACCCGAGACACAUCAGAGCUUCAGAAGAGAAGCGGAAGAAACCCAGAAAAGGAGCGUAUCGCCCGGAGGGCCGAGGCUUGAGUGAUUUCACCACCAUCAGCUAAGGGAAAAAGCCUGAAAGGGGAGAUGACUUGUGAAGAAUCGGUAAGAGGCACAUAGAAGUCCUGGCAUGUGCUGUCCACACGAUCGCACGGAAACACGUUUCCUCUUAAAAAAAUCCUUUUGAGGACGUCCCCGGUGGUCCAGUGGGAUUAAAGGUUACCCAGCUGGCGUGUGGAAGUUUUUAGGAAGAGCGUUGAGGAGCUCUCAUCAUCCUGUUCCUCGUUCCUCCUCUUCCAGGAAUGCCUUCCCAGGUUUUGACAGUCUUCCAAGAACAACAGAAAAUGAACAAAUCCCAGGCCAUUAGCCCUUCAAAGUCCAGAUGCAUGCCGUGUUCAUCUUCAUAUUUGCCGUUCCUCACCCUGUGCCUUGCUCCUGAAGUGUGCUGGCCAGGGAUCCAUGUCAUUCAGGGACGUGACUGUGGACUUCACCUGGGAUGAGUGGCUACAGCUGACCUGUAUG